ACGGGUGAGUACACGUGGGUAAUCUGCCCUGCACUCUGGGAUAAGCCUUGGAAACGAGGUCUAAUACCGGAUAUCACCACAUCAGGCAUCUGAAGUGGUUGAAAGUUCUGGCGGUGCAGGAUGAACCCGCGGCCUAUCAGCUUGUUGGUGGGGUAGUGGCCUACCAAGGCGACGACGGGUAGCCGGCCUGAGAGGGUGACCGGCCACACUGGGACUGAGACACGGCCCAGACUCCUACGGGAGGCAGCAGUGGGGAAUAUUGCACAAUGGGCGCAAGCCUGAUGCAGCGACGCCGCGUGAGGGAUGACGGCCUUCGGGUUGUAAACCUCUUUCGCCAGGGACGAAGCGCAAGUGACGGUACCUGGAUAAGAAGCACCGGCUAACUACGUGCCAGCAGCCGCGGGUAAUACG
rnacentral:rRNA from 1 species